rnacentral:rRNA from 1 species
GGGUUGUGAGGUUAAGCGACUAAGCGUACACGGUGGAUGCCCUGGCAGUCAGAGGCGAUGAAGGACGUGCUAAUCUGCGAUAAGCGUCGGUAAGGUGAUAUGAACCGUUAUAACCGGCGAUUUCCGAAUGGGGAAACCCAGUGUGAUUCGUCACACUAUCAUUAACUGAAUCCAUAGGUUAAUGAGGCGAACCGGGGGAACUGAAACAUCUAAGUACCCCGAGGAAAAGAAAUCAACCGAGAUUCCCCCAGUAGCGGCGAGCGAACGGGGAGCAGCCCAGAGCCUGAAUCAGUGUGUGUGUUAGUGGAAGCGUCUGGAAAGGCGCGCGAUACAGGGUGACAGCCCCGUACACAAAAAUGCACAUACUGUGAGCUCGAUGAG